GAAAGAGAAACUAUACCUCAGUGACUCAGUCCUUAGUUCAGAGUCUUUAGAUGUGAUCGGAUGAAUCAGAUCGGAGGGCCUAAGCCAGCAACAGAAGGAUUUAAGAUUAGGAUUUAGGACCAGUGGAGAGAAAGAAUGAGAGAGGCGGAGAGUAAGAGCUGAAAGAAAGAGGCAGAGAGCAAGAAUGAGAAAGAGAAACGGUCAUUCAUCCAUCUAAAGACCCAAAGGUGAAGAAGUUCCAUGAUGCCAAAUACCGUAUUUUCCGGGAGCUAUAUGAGCAGCAGCUAUCUCAUCGCUCUAUAAUGGCUCAAGCCUUGGCUUAGUUAAUGUGAUACUUGGCCAUGAUGUCAUCUGGACGCUUUGAUUAACUGAUUGCAUUGUGAUACUUUCUUUUGGAAAGAAAUGGAUGCACAGUUUGAAGGUUAGAUUGUGAAGAUUGCAAAUUCAAAUAGAAGAAAUUCAAUAAGAUUAACGUGUAUAGCCUUGAUUUUCAGCAUCACAUUGGAGAAAAAUAUCACGAAGAGAGUGGAAGAUAUAAGUCGAGCAAUGAUAAGGGAAUUAAAAUAUCAUUAAAAAAA